AAGCUAGAUGUGGGCACUUCCUCAAUGUCCUUGAAUCUCUCGCAAGCUUCAUACAAACUUUCUUUGAUCAUCAGGUGGGAAAAGUCAUUAUCUCAUUGCGAAGCGU